AACGAACGCUGGCGGCAGGCCUAACACAUGCAAGUCGAGCGAACCCUUCGGGGUUAGCGGCGGACGGGUUAGUAACGCGUGGGAAUAUACCCUUUGGUACGGAAUAGCCUCGGGAAACUGAGAGUAAUACCGUAUGUGCCCUUCGGGGGAAAGAUUUAUCGCCAAAGGAUUAGCCCGCGUUGGAUUAGAUAGUUGGUGGGGUAAUGGCCUACCAAGUCUACGAUCCAUAGCUGGUUUGAGAGGAUGAUCAGCAACACUGGGACUGAGACACGGCCCAGACUCCUACGGGAGGCAGCAGUGGGGAAUCUUAGACAAUGGGCGCAAGCCUGAUCUAGCCAUGCCGCGUGGACGAUGAAGGCCUUAGGGUUGUAAAGUCCUUUCAGAUGGGAAGAUAAUGACGGUACCAUCAGAAGAAGCCCCGGCUAACUCCGUGCCAGCAGCCGCGGUAAUG
rnacentral:rRNA from 1 species